AUAUUUUCUGUGUUGGUGCAAUGUACUCAGGUGAAUAAGAUGCUUGUGACGUUACUCUGAGUGUAUAUCCACACCGGGCAAGCUUGAAAAAUAUGCCUGCCUGGAUAUACACUCAGAGUAACAUCACAAGCAUCUUAUUCACCUGAGUACAUUGCACCAACACAGAAAAUAUCAUUAUUAC